rnacentral:piRNA from 1 species
CAAGUUCAGAGACCCAAGAGAACAAGC